rnacentral:rRNA from 1 species
AUGUGCUCCAAACGGAAGACGUGUCAUGGAGGACCAUCUCAACAAGAGCAAGGCAGUCCUGCAAUUGCUAAUGAAGUGUUUGUCAUUGAUGAGGAGGUUUCCCAUCUUACUAGGCUUAAAUCAGAGCCAAGUGAGAGAACUCGUGCAUGCCUUCAUGCUGGCAAGAGCCAUAUCUCUACAUUCAAGCUGUUGUCAUCAAGAGAAUCCAAUCGCUCAGGAUUUGGUAGAUUCUCUUCAGCCGAUUGCUCUUAUGCUCUUCGCAAACACCUACCAGUAAGAGGCCCGUGGUGCGUUGAUAGCAUGGACUGCGCAGCAUACAUCUCACAAUUCUCUUCGGAUGGUUCUCUACUAAUUGCUGGGUUUCGGGGAGGCCGUAUCAGAUUCUAUAACGCUGACAAAAAAUGGAAGAUCCACAAGGAUAUAAACUGCAAAAGUCUGCGGUGGACAGUAUCAGAUAUUGCUCUCUCACCUGAUCAACAAUACCUAGCAUAUUCAAGUCUGACCCCUACUGUUCACAUAGUAAAUGUUCAGAAUGCUCUGAAGCAGUCACAUGCUAAUAUUACAGACAUUCAUGAGGGUUUGAAUUUUUCUGCUGCUGACGAUGAAUCCUCCUUUGGAAUAUUUUCAAUAAAGUUUUCAAAAGAUGGCCAUGAACUUGUUGUUGGAAACAGCAAUGAGUCAAUAUGUAUUUAUGAUCUUGGAGCAAACAAAGUGACAGAGCGCAUUCAUGCUCAUGUGGCUGAUGUUAAUGCGGUCACGUUCGCUGAUGAAUCUAGUGAUGUCUUGUACUCCGGAAGUGAUGAUAGCCUCUGUAAGGUGUGGGAUAGGCGCUGCCACAAGAGCGCGAAACCAGUAGGUGUUUUGGCAGGUCAUUUAGAUGGAGUUACAUUUAUUGAUAGCCGUGGAGACGGGCAUUAUUUCAUCUCCAACUGCAAGGACCAGACUAUUAAACUAUGGGAUAUCAGAAAAUUGUCCUCGGCUACGAAGGACUGCACACCGAAAGCAUACGAAUGGGAUUACAGAUGGAUGACCUAUCCAUCAGAAGCCCGAUUUUUGAAGCAUUCAUAUGAUCAAUCGCUAGCCACAUUCAGAGGCCAUUCGGUGUUGCGCACACUUAUCCGUUGUUACUUUUCCCCAAUGCACAGCACAGGUCAGAGGUACAUAUACACAGGAUCCAGUGACCAAUGUGUCUAUAUUUAUGAUGUGGCCACUGGAAACGUUGUCGAAACACUCAAAUGGCAUGAAUCGAUCGUCAGAGAUUGUUCCUGGCACCCGCACCUCCCGACGCUCGUUAGCUCUUCGUGGGACGGCUAUCUGGUAAGGUGGGAAGCAACGGAGGAUGACGACGACCCAACGACCCUCAAUAAAGGGAAACAGAAGAUGUGUCCAGAGGGAUACACAUUCACGCUGUAG